rnacentral:rRNA from 1 species
UACGUAGGGGGCAAGCGUUGUCCGGAAUUAUUGGGCGUAAAGAGCUCGUAGGCGGUCUGUCACGUCGGCUGUGAAAACCCGAGGCUCAACCUCGGGCCUGCAGUCGAUACGGGCAAACUAGAGUACUGCAGGGGAGACUGGAAUUCCUGGUGUAGCGGUGAAAUGCGCAGAUAUCAGGAGGAACACCGGUGGCGAAGGCGGGUCUCUGGGCAGUAACUGACGCUGAGGAGCGAAAGCGUGGGGGGCGAACAGG